GUGUGAAAUGAUGGCAUAUCAUCUUUCGGGACUGAGAGCCUUGAUGUCAACCUUUUUACACUGCUGAUCGCAC